AUUAACUGAAUCCAUAGGUUAAUGAGGCGAACCGGGGGAACUGAAACAUCUAAGUACCCCGAGGAAAAGAAAUCAACCGAGAUUCCCCCAGUAGCGGCGAGCGAACGGGGAGGAGCCCAGAGCCUGAAUCAGUGUGUGUGUUAGUGGAAGCGUCUGGAAAGGCGCGCGAUACAGGGUGACAGCCCCGUACACAAAAAUACACAUAUUGUGAGCUCGAUGAGUAGGGCGGGACACGUGGUAUCCUGUCUGAAUAUGGGGGGACCAUCCUCCAAGGCUAAAUACUCCUGACUGACCGAUAGUGAACCAGUACCGUGAGGGAAAGGCGAAAAGAACCCCGGCGAGGGGAGUGAAAAAGAACCUGAAACCGUGUACGUACAAGCAGUGGGAGCACGCUUAGGCGUGUGACUGCGUACCUUUUGUAUAAUGGGUCAGCGACUUAUAUUCUGUAGCAAGGUUAACCGAAUAGGGGAGCCGAAGGGAAACCGAGUCUUAACUGGGCGUUAAGUUGCAGGGUAUAGACCCGAAACCCGGUGAUCUAGCCAUGGGCAGGUUGAAGGUUGGGUAACACUAACUGGAGGACCGAACCGACUAAUGUUGAAAAAUUAGCGGAUGACUUGUGGCUGGGGGUGAAAGGCCAAUCAAACCGGGAGAUAGCUGGUUCUCCCCGAAAGCUAUUUAGG
rnacentral:rRNA from 1 species